rnacentral:rRNA from 1 species
CACCCUUCCUUGUUUACCCCGCCUAUAUACCACCGUCGUCAGCUUACCCUGUGAAGGCCCAACAGUAAGCAGAAUUGGCACACCCCAAAACGUCAGGUCGAGGUGUAGCGCAUGGAAGGGGAAGAAAUGGGCUACAUUCACUGCAUCAGUGAAUACGGAUAGUGCAUUGAAACAUGCACUUGAAGGAGGAUUUAGCAGUAAGUAGAAAGCAGAGUGUUCCACUGAAAAUGGCCCUGAAGCGCGCACACACCGCCCGUCACUCUCCCCGAGCUCCCCAAAACCCAACUAACUAAAACCAGCACUAGCAAUUAGGGGAGGCAAGUCGUAACAUGGUAAGUGUACCGGAAGGUGUACUUGGAAUAUA